GACGAACGCUGGCGGCGUGCCUAAUACAUGCAAGUUGAGCGCUGAAGGUUGGUACUUGUACCCACUGGAUGAGCAGCGAACGGGUGAGUAACGCGUGGGGAAUCUGCCUUUGAGCGGGGGACAACAUUUGGAAACGAAUGCUAAUACCGCAUAAAAACUUUAAACACAAGUUUUAAGUUUGAAAGAUGCAAUUGCAUCACUCAAAGAUGAUCCCGCGUUGUAUUAGCUAGUUGGUGAGGUAAAGGCUCACCAAGGCGAUGAUACAUAGCCGACCUGAGAGGGUGAUCGGCCACAGUGGGACUGAAACACGGCCCAAACUCCUACAGGAGGCAGCAGUAGGGAAUCUUCGGCAAUGGAAGAAAGUCUGACCGAGCAACGCCGCGUGAGGGAAGAAGGUUUUCGGAUCGUAAAACUCUGUUGGUAGAGAAGAACGUUGGUGAGAGUGGAAAGCUCAUCAAGUGACGGUAACUACCCAGAAAGGGACGGCUAACUACGUG
rnacentral:rRNA from 1 species